CAGGUCACUCCUACGGGAGGCAGCAGUGGGGAAUUUUGCGCAAUGGGGGAAACCCUGACGCAGCAAUGCCGCGUGGAGGAUGAAGUCCUUUGGGAUGUAAACUCCUUUCGAUCGGGAAGAUUAUGACGGUACCGGAAGAAGAAGCCCCGGCUAACUCUGUGCCAGCAGCCGCGGUAAUACAGAGGGUGCAAGCGUUGUUCGGAAUUAUUGGGCGUAAAGGGCGCGUAGGCGGUGCGGUAAGUCACUUGUGAAAUCUCUGGGCUCAACUCAGAGUCUGCUGUAGAAACUGCCGUGCUUGAGUGUGGGAGAGGUGAGUGGAAUUCCCGGUGUAGCGGUGAAAUGCGUAGAGAUCGGGAGGAACACCAGUGGCGAAGGCGACACGCUGGGCCGUACCUGACACUGAUGCGCGACAGCAUGGGGAGCAAACAGGAUUAGAUACCCUGGUAGUCCACGCCGUAAACGAUGGGCACUAGGUGCUUGGGGGAGCGACCCUCUGAGUGCCGGCGCUAACGCAUUAAGUGCCCCGCCUGGGGAGUACGGCCGCAAGGCUGAAACUUAAAGGAAUUGACG
rnacentral:rRNA from 1 species